rnacentral:tRNA from 1 species
GGAGGCGAAUGUGGCCUGGUGGCCGCCCUGGUCUUCAAAACCAGUGGCCCGCAUUCCGUGUGGGCGGUGGGUUCGAUUCCCAUCCGCCUCCGCCA